rnacentral:rRNA from 1 species
UACGAAGGGGGCUAGCGUUGCUCGGAAUCACUGGGCGUAAAGCGCACGUAGGCGGACUCUUAAGUCAGGGGUGAAAUCCUGGAGCUCAACUCCAGAACUGCCUUUGAUACUGAAGAUCUUGAGUUCGGGAGAGGUGAGUGGAACUGCGAGUGUAGAGGUGAAAUUCGUAGAUAUUCGCAAGAACACCAGUGGCGAAGGCGGCUCACUGGCCCGAUACUGACGCUGAGGUGCGAAAGCGUGGGGAGCAGA